UGAGGAAUAUUGGGCAAUGCCCGCAAGGGUGACCCAGCAACGCCGCGUGGAGGAUGAACGUCGUAAGAUUGUAAACUCCUGUUAGAGGGGAAGAAUAGUACCGGUUGGACCGGUAUAUGACUGUACCCUCAGAGAAAGCCCCGGCUAACUACGUGCCAGCAGCCGCGGUAAUACGUAGGGGGCAAGCGUUGUCCGGAUUUACUGGGUGUAAAGGGCGCGCAGGCGGGAUAAAAAGUCAGUGGUGAAAUCCUACAGCUUAACUGUAGAACUGCCUUUGAUACUUUUAUUCUUGAGUUCGGGAGAGAGAGACGGAAUUCCAGGUGUAGUGGUGAAAUACGUAGAUAUCUGGAAGAACACCAGUUGCGAAGGCGGUCUCUUGGUCCGACACUGACGCUGAGGCGCGAAAGCGUGGGGAGCAAACA
rnacentral:rRNA from 1 species